CGGAUCGGAGUCUGCAACCCGACUCCGUGAAGCUGGAUUCGCUAGUAAUCGCGCAUCAGCCAUGGCGCGGUGAAUACGUUCCCGGGCCUUGUACACACCGCCCGUCAAGCCAUGGGAGCCGGGGGGUGCUUGAAGUGCGUCGCCGCAAGGCGCGCCCUAGAGCAAAAACCGGUGACUGGGGGNUAAGUCGUAACAAGGUAGC
rnacentral:rRNA from 1 species